rnacentral:rRNA from 1 species
GACGAACGCUGGCGGCGUGCUUAACACAUGCAAGUCGAGCGGAAAACUUCGGUUUUCAGCGGCGGACGGGUGAGUAACACGUGGGCAACCUGCCUCACAAUGAGGGAUAGCCUUCCGAAAGGAAGAUUAAUACCUCAUAACACAAGAGAAACGCAUGUUUCUCUUGCCAAAGAAUUUCGUUGUGAGAUGGGCCCGCGGCGCAUUAGCUUGUUGGUGAGGUGACGGCUCACCAAAGCCUCGAUGCGUAGCCGACCUGAGAGGGUGAUCGGCCACAUUGGAACUGAGACACGGUCCAGACUCCUACGGGAGGCAGCAGUGGGGAAUAUUGCACAAUGGAGGAAACUCUGAUGCAGCAACGCCGCGUGAGUGAUGAAGGUCUUCGGAUUGUAAAACUCUGUCUUCUGGGACGAUAAUGACGGUACCAGAGGAGGAAGCCACGGCUAACUACGUGCGAGCAGCCGCCGCGG